UAUAAGUCUCUGCAGAAAAUUUCUCCAUGUCAUAACAUUCACACACGUAAAAUAUUCCAUGUCUAGCACAAUGUCACAAACUACGCAAGCCUUUUGAGCAAAGUGUCUAUGCUUCAUACCACAAAAAGGUGGCAUAGCAAAGCAAUCCAAAUGGGAACGGGGGAAAACUGAUAAAAAUGCUCCCACUAAUUCCUUUGACUAUUUGCAGAAA
rnacentral:misc_RNA from 1 species